rnacentral:rRNA from 1 species
CCCGCCAAUUCCUUUAAGUUUCUCUGGUUGAUCCUGCCGGAGGUCAUAGCUGUUUCCUGACGACUAAGCCAUGCGAGUCGAGAGGGUUCGGCCCUCGGCUGACGGCUCAGUAACACGUGGAUAAUCUGCCCUAAGGUGGAGGAUAACCUCGGGAAACUGAGAAUAAUACUCCAUAAGUCUAGGAUGCUGGAAUGCACUUAGACUGAAAACUUCGGUGCCUUAGGAUGAGUCUGCGGACUAUCAGGUUGUAGUCAGGGUAAAGACCUGACUAGCCUACGACGGAUACGGGUUGUGAGAGCAAUAACCCGGAGAUGAUAUCUGAGACACGAUAUCAGGCCCUACGGGGCGCAGCAGGCGCGAAAACUUCGCACUGCGCGAAAGCGCGACGAGGGGAUCCCAAGUGUAUGCACGUAAGUGUAUACUGUUUCUCUGUCUAAAAAGCAGAGAGAGUAAGGGCUGGGUAAGACGGGUGCCAGCCGCCGCGGUAAAACCAGCUCUUCAAGUGGUCGGGGCUAUUAUUGGGCUUAAAGUGUCCGUAGCCGGUAUAGUAAGUUCCUGGUUAAAUCGGAUAGCUUAACUAUCUGUUGGCUAGGAAUACUGCUAUACUAGGGGGCGGGAGAGGUCUGAGGUACUCCAGGGGUAGGGGUGAAAUCCUAUAAUCCUUGGGGGACCACCAGUGGCGAAGGCGUCAGACUGGAACGCGCUCGACGGUGAGGGACGAAAGCCAGGGGAGCGAACCGGAUUAGAUACCCGGGUAGUCCUGGCUGUAAACGAUGCGUGCUAGGUGUUGGUAUGGCCUUGAGCCGUAUCAGUGCCGUAGGGAAACCGAUAAGCGCGCCGCU